GAUCCUGGCUCAGAAUCAACGCUGGCGGCGUGCCUCAGACAUGCAAGUCGAACGAUUAAACUUCUCUUCGGAGAAGAUAUAAAGUGGCGCACGGGUGAGUAACACGUAAGUAAUCUACCUUCGGAUGGGGAAUAACAGUCGGAAACGACUGCUAAUACCGCAUAAUGCAGCGGCAUCAUAAGAUGACAGUUGUUAAAGUAUUUAUACGUCUGGAGAGGAGCUUGCGGCAGAUUAGCUAGUUGGUAAGGUAACGGCUUACCAAGGCUACGAUCUGUAUCCGACCUGAGAGGGUGGUCGGACACACUGACACUGAAUAACGGGUCAGACUCCUACGGGAGGCAGCAGUCGGGAAUUUUGGGCAAUGGGCGAAAGCCUGACCCAGCAACGCCGCGUGAAGGAUGAAGUCUUUCGGGAUGUAAACUUCGUAAGAAUAGGAAGAAUAAAUGACGGUACUAUUUGUAAGGUCCGGCUAACUACGUGCCAGCAGCCGCGGUAAUACGUAGGGACCAAGCGUUGUUCGGAUUUACUGGGCGUAAAGGGCGCGUAGGCGGCGUGACAAGUCACUUGUGAAAUCUCCGGGCUUAACUCGGAACGGUCAAGUGAUACUGUUGUGCUAGAGUGCAGAAGGGGCAAUCGGAAUUCUUGGUGUAGCGGUGAAAUGCGUAGAUAUCAAGAGGAACACCUGAGGUG
rnacentral:rRNA from 1 species